UACGUAGGGGGCAAGCGUUGUCCGGAUUUCUUGGGCGUAAAGAGCGUGUAGGCGGCUUUACAGGUCCGUUGUGAAAACUCGAGGCUCAACCUCGAGACGCCGGUGGAAACCGUAAGGCUAGAGUCCGGAAGAGGAGAGUGGAAUUCCUGGUGUAGCGGUGAAAUGCGCAGAUAUCAGGAGGAACACCCGUGGCGAAAGCGGCUCUCUGGGACGGUACUGACGCUGAGACGCGAAAGCGUGGGGAGCAAACAGG
rnacentral:rRNA from 1 species